rnacentral:rRNA from 1 species
ACACCGCCCGUCACACCAUGGGAGUGGGUUGCAAAAGAAGUAGGUAGCUUAACCUUCGGGAGGGCGCUUACCACUUUGUGAUUCAUAACUGGGGUGAAGUCGUAACAAGGUAACCGUAGGGGAACCUGCGGUUGGAUCACCUCCUUACCUUAAAGAA